UAGUUCAACUCCAUACAGAAUUGUGGUCUCAGUUCUGUAUAAGUUGAGCUG
ensembl:miRNA cin-mir-4081 cin-mir-4081